rnacentral:rRNA from 1 species
CUUGAACGCUGGCGGCAGGCUUAACACAUGCAAGUCGCGCGAGCGGCGGACGGGUGAGUAAUGUCUGGGAAACUGCCUGAUGGAGGGGGAUAACUACUGGAAACGGUAGCUAAUAACGCAUACCAUCAGAUGUGCCCAGAUGGGAUUAGCUAGUAGGUGGGGUAAUGGCUCACCGAGGCGACGAUCCCUAGCUUGUCUGAGAAGAUGACCAGCCACACUGGAACUGAGCCACUGUCCAGCCUCCUACGGGAGGCCUCAGUGGGGAAUAUUGCACAAUGGGGGCAAGCCUGAUGCAGCCAUGCCGCGUGGGUGAAUAAGGCCUUCGGGUUGUAAAGCACUUUCAGCGAGGAGGCGUUACUCGCAGAAUAAGCACCGGCUAACUCCGUGCCAGCCGCCGCGGUAAUAC